AAAAGGGGCAACUGCCCCGGACCCCAUAAUUAACAGGGGCCCACAGCUGCUGUCCUUUUAGUCUGGAGUGGCAGGCAGAAGACGAGCGGCCUUGACAGUGGGGAGAUCAUCACUGACAUCGUCCAACCCUUUCUCCUGUUGCAGUGGUUCCUGCUAUACUGGUGACUGCUGGGGGCAUUGGGAUCUCUACUGGUGCCUGCUGGGGGCAUUUAAAUCUCUACCGGUGACUGCUGGGGACAUUGAGAUCUCUACUGGUGCCUGCUGGGGACAUUGAGAUCUCUACUAGUGACUGCUGGGGGCAUUGAAAUCUCUACUGGUGCCUGCUGGGGACAUUGAGAUCUCUACUGGUGCCUGCUGGGGACAUUGAGAUCUCUACUGGCGCCUGCUGGGGGCA